GACGAACGCUGGCGGCGUGCCUAAUACAUGCAAGUUGAGCGCUGAAGGUUGGUACUUGUACCAACUGGAUGAGCAGCGAACGGGUGAGUAACGCGUGGGGAAUCUGCCUUUGAGCGGGGGACAACAUUUGGAAACGAAUGCUAAUACCGCAUAAAAACUUUAAACACAAGUUUUAAGUUUGAAAGAUGCAAUUGCAUCACUCAAAGAUGAUCCCGCGUUGUAUUAGCUAGUUGGGGAGGAAAAGGCUCACCAAGGCGAUGAUACAUAGCCGACCUGAGAGGGUGGUCGGCCACAUUGGGACUGAGACACGGCCCAAACUCCUACGGGAGGCAGCAGUAGGGAAACUUCGGCAAUGGACGAAAGUCUGACCGAGCAACGCCGCGUGAGUGAAGAAGGUUUUCGGAUCGUAAAACUCUGUUGGUAGAGAAGAACGUUGGUGAGAGUGGAAAGCUCAUCAAGUGACGGUAACUACACAGAAAGGGACGGCUAACUACGUG
rnacentral:rRNA from 1 species